rnacentral:rRNA from 1 species
UACGUAGGGUGCAAGCGUUGUCCGGAAUUAUUGGGCGUAAAGAGCUCGUAGGCGGCUCGUCACGUCUGCUGUGAAAACCCGGGGCUCAACUCCGGGCCUGCAGUGGAUACGGGCGGGCUAGAGUUCGGUAGGGGAGACUGGAAUUCCUGGUGUAGCGGUGAAAUGCGCAGAUAUCAGGAGGAACACCAGUGGCGAAGGCGGGUCUCUGGGCCGAUACUGACGCUGAGGAGCGAAAGCGUGGGGAGGAAACAGG